GCGGCGGUUAAACAUGAAUGAUUAAAUCUUCGACACGGAGCGCUUUGAGUCGUCUUCUCCGGCGGAAUUAACCAGCUGCUGUCCGCCUCUCGCAGAAAACAAAGGGUUCAAGCGUAACCGCACAAAAACAGACGAAGAUAUUUUGACUGCUGCUUACAAACAAACAAAGAGACAUUUUUUUUUCGCGCCGUAUGUUUAAAAGUCCAGCGCAGCCAAUCAGCGCACGGGUGGCGCACACAAACGUGACGCGGUGACGGUAAGGAUCUUUACCAAUCGCGGUUCCGCGUCUGGCCUCGAGCUCAAAAUUCAAAUUUAAAUGUGAGAUUCGGUCCAAUCGUGUGACAGAGGGGCGGAGCUAAGGGACUACUUCUAGUCAAGUUAGGUCGGCCUCGCAGAGAGGCACAUAACAGUUGCGCGUUUUCCUCAUUCACUCGUUUACAACUUGACUCGCAGAGAACAGAGUAAUCGCAGCCAUGACAAAGGACCCGAAUAAGCCCAGAGGGAAAACCUCCUCCUACGCCUUCUUUGUGGCGACCUGCCGCGAGGAGCACAAGAAGAAGCACCCGGGGACGAGCGUCAGCUUCUCAGAGUUCUCCAAGAAAUGCU